rnacentral:rRNA from 1 species
GGUUCCCUCAGCCUGGUUGGUAAUCAGGUGUUGAGUGUAAGUGCACAAGGGAGCUUGACUGUGAGACCGACGGGUCGAGCAGGGACGAAAGUCGGGACUAGUGAUCCGGCGGUGGCUUGUGGAAGCGCCGUCGCUCAACGGAUAAAAGGUACCCCGGGGAUAACAGGCUGAUCUUCCCCAAGAGUCCAUAUCGACGGGAUGGUUUGGCACCUCGAUGUCGGCUCGUCGCAUCCUGGGGCUGGAGUCGGUCCCAAGGGUUGGGCUGUUCGCCCAUUAAAGCGGUACGCGAGCUGGGUUUAGAACGUCGUGAGACAGUUCGGUCCCUAUCCGCUGUGCGCGUAGGAAUAUUGAGAAGGGCUGUCCCUAGUACGAGAGGACCGGGACGGACGAACCUCUGGUGUGCCAGUUGUCCUGCCAAGGGCAUGGCUGGUUGGCUACGUUCGGGAGGGAUAACCGCUGAAAGCAUCUAAGCGGGAAGCCUGCUUCGAGAUGAGUAUUCCCACCCCCUUGAGGGGUUAAGGCUCCCAGUAGACGACUGGGUUGAUAGGCCAGAUCUGGAAGGCGGGUAACCGCUGGAGGUGACUGGUACUAAUAGGCCGAGGGCUUGUCCUCAGUUG